CCCACUGUCCACAAUGAAAAUAUACCAUGAAGGUGGGAAGCAAAGGACUUUGUAUGGAAUUUUGGUUCCUUUUUGAAAGGAAUAGUUGACAAAGUGUAAAAAGGGAGUCUUUGGCUAAGCUACAACUACACCAUCGAGACGUGAAUCCAAAUAUGUUACUCAAGAACAAUUGUGGACAACAACUUCAUAUUCCCUUUAAGGGGAAACUAACGUGAUACUAUUCACGACGUGGAUCUGUAUGAAGAAGCAAAAUAAAGAGCGACGUUAAGGUUAUAUCCGCAUCGGUAACGUGAUUCUAACAUCAGUUUCCUCCGGAUAGCAAAUCAGAGAGUUUUUUGUAGUGAAGUAAAGUGGAAGAAGAAUAGUUCUUGCCAUAUAAGGUUGAAGUGCUAAUUGAGGCGAGUUCGUUAUUGAGUGCGUAUGGACUACAAGAGGUUCAGACAGGUUGACAGAAGGAUUGCACUGAUGAGAUUUGCCGAGUAUCAGCUUGGAUUGGUGAGCUCCACUUCUUUCUGGAGUGUUGCCGAGUCAGUAUGUCGUAUAUGUAUUUCAGGUUAUGGUUACGUCGGAGCCCUGUCCCAACAUAUAUAUACACAUUACAGUUAUGUAUUCUUAGAGACUUUUGCAGACGGAUCCUGUGUAUAGUUUUGUUGUGUUUUUGUCAGGUUGGGAUGUCGGCCUAUAAGGCCCUUAUAUAUAUAUAUGUCUUUUGGGCUGUUAUUACAGAGACAUUUUGGCAUAAAUGGCCCCAAGAUUAUUUAUGUAUGAUAUUGUGUUCACAUGUUGGCCUCGUUGGCCUUGCUUGUCCUUCGGGACUUAGACGAUCAAAGUUAUAGUCUGGUUCGCUCGGCCCUAAUUAGGUGUCGGGUGCCAAUCAUACCUCACCAAGGUUAGGGUGUGACAGUGGGACUUCAUUUAACAUUCAUUUGUUAUAUUAGUUCCGGGAUGUAUUGUGAGUUUAGCUUUAUUCAUUCUUCUUAGAAGCUACACACACAUAUGUUAUUACUGUGGGUAGUAUUUUGU